rnacentral:rRNA from 1 species
UACGGAGGGGGCUAGCGUUGUUCGGAAUUACUGGGCGUAAAGCGCACGUAGGCGGACCAUCAAGUUGGGGGUGAAAUCCCGGGGCUCAACUCCGGAACUGCCUCCAAAACUGCUGGUCUGGAGGUCGAGAGAGGUGAGUGGAAUUCCGAGUGUAGAGGUGAAAUUCGUAGAUAUUCGGAGGAACACCAGUGGCGAAGGCGGCUCACUGGCUCGAUACUGACGCUGAGGUGCGAAAGCGUGGGGAGCAAACAGG